UAAGGAAUAUUGCUCAAUGGCCGAAAGGCUGAAGCAGCGACGCCGCGUGGGCGAGGAAGGUCUUCGGAUCGUAAAGCCCUUUUCUGCGUGACGAGGAAGGACGGUAGCGCAGGAAGAAGUCUCGGCUAACUACGUGCCAGCAGCCGCGGUAAAACGUAGGAGACGAGCGUUAUCCGGAAUUACUGGGCGUAAGGCGCGUGUCGGCGGGUCGUCAAGUCUGUCGUGAAAGCGCCCGGCUAAACCGGGCGAGGUCGAUGGAGACUGGCGGUCUGGAGUGCGAGAGAGGGCAGGUGGAAUUCCGGGUGUAGUGGUGAAAUGCGUAGAUAUCCGGAGGACACCAGUGGCGAAGGCGACUGCCUGGCUCGCAACUGACGCUCAGACGCGAAAGCAUGGGGAGCGAACGGGAUUAGAAACCCCGGUAGUCCAUGCUGUAAACGAUGCCGACUAGGUGUUCGUGAGGGGAAACCCUUGGGAGUGCCGC
rnacentral:rRNA from 1 species